AGCCUGGAAAGCAUCGUCCAUUAUCCGAAAGAGCCACUCUCUGUCCGGCUGACAGACAGACAUAACUUUUUGACAGCUCGUCCAGCUCGCUGGCUAGGUGACUUUUGCCACUCGCAAAGUGGUGUCCUUGCAUCCAUGUGGCAUCAUCAUGCAGCAUCUCCUCGCUUGAUGGAAGUGAUGAAGUUGAAUAAUAUUCUGCAAUGCCAAAGUGUCAUUUUACAGCUGGAAGAAAAUUUAAUGUGACCUUUAAGAGGACAAAAUACAGCUGUCUUCAGUGCUGGACGGUAUAUUUAGGGGAUCCUGACACAGUUACAAGGACUGCACUGUAAAUCCUAGCCUGAGAGCUGAUUUGAAUCAGAUUGCAGCCCUCUCCACACCCCCCGGGCCUCCAGGUGACAAAGCUGCCUCAGCCUGGCACAGUUGGUGGCGGCUGUUCCACCGAACAGGCUGACUGCUGGGCAAGGAGGGACCAGCUGAGAGUGACCUUUCUGCAUUGUUCCACGCAGGCUUGGAUACAUCAGACUUGAUAAGUGGCUGUGAGAGUGAGGGUGUCGAGGCCAGCACAGCAGCCCUUCUCCCCAUCAUGCUGCCACCCGCCGCCCCCCACCCCCACCCCCUCCCAACAGGUCUCUAUGAUAAAGCCGCUAUUGUCUCUCAUCUGGGAUAAUUUAUCUACUCAGCCUUAAAUAGGGUAUAACUGAGGGGAGUGGUUGACCUUUUCAUUUUUAACACUAAUACCUUUUUGGAGAUUUUUUUUCCUGUGUGCAAUCAUUUAGCGGGUAGGUGGGUUGGGGGUGGGGUUGGGUGGGGGUGUACUGGU